CAGUAGCCGCGGGAAUACGUAGGGUGCAAGCGUUAAUCGGAAUUACUGGGCGUAAAGCGCGCGCAGGCGGAUCAGUCAGUCUGUCUUAAAAGUUCGGGGCUUAACCCCGUGAGGGGAUGGAAACUGCUGAUCUAGAGUAUCGGAGAGGAAAGUGGAGUUCCUAGUGUAGCGGUGAAAUUCGUAGAUAUUCGGAGGAACACCAGUGGCGAAGGCGGCUCACUGGUCCAUUACUGACGCUGAGGUGCGAAAGCGUGGGGAGCAAACAGGAUUAGAUACCCCGGUAGUCCCUGUCUCUUAUACA
rnacentral:rRNA from 1 species